UUUUUCUUUCAAAACUGUAGGUUACGGUGGAAGACAUGAUGUGCUGAUCUUAAAUAUAAAAAUGCAGCCCUGGUGAAUUAAGUCACAGUCCCUGUCAUCUCAACCCACUUCUGUCCCCGGGAUGGCAAAGAUGGUGCAACAGAAGACCAGUGAGAGACAUGAUAGCACACAAACAAACGAAAAAGACAAAUAAGACAGCGUUAACAAUGAUGACAGCAAGACAAAUAUUCAAGCAAGCAAAACCCCCAAAACAAACAGCGCUGUCCACAUACAUGUCCAGCUGUCCAGGACCAGCACAAGAAAAGGUCUGUCACUAUGUAUAUAUUAGAAGUUAAUUAAUACAACUUUUACAGUGCAAUAAAAACACAAACAUUUCUUGGUUCCAUCACAGCCAUGAGACUCCAUGUGUUUUCAUUUCAGGUCAUUUAAAACACAGUGUGCUCAUAAUAGAUGUCUGUUAUUAUAGCCAAAGCAGGAGUCACACAUUUACAUGCACAUAAAUAUACUUAUGAAUGUAAAUGUGCUGCUCAAUGUCACUUCACUUGGUGUUGGAUGUUUGACCUUCACUAAGCAGAGUGACUUACUGUGUGUGCAGUGGCAGAAUGUAACUAAGUACAUUUACUAAAGUGCUCUACUUAAAGACUAUUUUGAGGCACUUAGACUUCACUUGAGCACUUCCAUUUUCUGCUACCUAACACCUCUACUCCAUUGCAUUUCUGAGGCAAAUUAUUACACUUUUUGCUCACCACACUACUCCAUUACUUUACCAAAGUAGCACAUUUUAAAUGAAUUUAAUUUACUUGCGAUCAGAUUAAACAGAUUGAGCACUAAUUCAGGUCAUCGGCAAAAUGCUGAAUAUCAGAUCCCAUUACUUACAGGUGGUUUAUGCAUGCAUGUAACCUAUUGUGCAACUUACUGCUACUUGUACUUUUGAUCUAAUUCAUCACGACUUUACUCAAGUAUUAUUUGUACGGGUGGGCAAAGUAAUAUUUUAACAAAACACUUUCUUUUUUCAAUUUACCUGUGUAUGUGUGUAGUUUGACACUAUAGGCAGUUUUCAAAAUCAUCUGCUAAAUGUUCAAAGUUUCCCCAACCUAAAAUCUGGGUUUAAGACCUGUACGUAC